AAACCAACAGGGAUUGCCUUAGUAGCGGCGAGUGAAGCGGCAAAAGCUCAAAUUUGAAAUCUGGCUCUUUCAGAGUCCGAGUUGUAAUUUGAAGAAGGUAUCUUUGGGUCUGGCUCUUGUCUAUGUUUCUUGGAACAGAACGUCACAGAGGGUGAGAAUCCCGUGCGAUGAGAUGAUCCAGGCCUAUGUAAAGUUCCUUCGAAGAGUCGAGUUGUUUGGGAAUGCAGCUCUAAGUGGGUGGUAAAUUCCAUCUAAAGCUAAAUAUUGGCGAGAGACCGAUAGCGAACAAGUACAGUGAUGGAAAGAUGAAAAGAACUUUGAAAAGAGAGUGAAAAAGUACGUGAAAUUGUUGAAAGGGAAGGGCUUGAGAUCAGACUUGGUAUUUUGUAUGUUACUUCUUCGGGGGUGGCCUCUACAGUUUAUCGGGCCAGCAUCAGUUUGGGCGGUAGGAGAAUUGCGUUGGAAUGUGGCACGGCUUCGGUUGUGUGUUAUAGCCUUCGUCGAUACUGCCAGCCUAGACUGAGGACUGCGGUUUAUACCUAGGAUGUUGGCAUAAUGAUCUUAAGUCACCCGUCUUGAACCCGGGGAA
rnacentral:rRNA from 1 species